rnacentral:rRNA from 1 species
GGCGAAAGCUUCGGUGUGAGUAGAGUGGCGCACGGGUGAGUAACACGUAGAUUAUCUGCCCUAGAGUGGGGAACAACCACUGGAAACGAUGGCUAAUACCGCAUACGGAGGUAACUCUAAAGGGGGCUUCGGCUCUCGCUUUAGGAUGAGUCUGCGCGACAUUAGCUUGAUGGUGGGGUAAUGGCCUACCAUGGCGAUGAUGUCUAGCUGGUCUGAGAGGAUGAUCAGCCACACUGGAACUGAGACACGGUCCAGACUCCUACGGGAGGCAGCAGUAGGGAAUAUUGCGCAAUGGGGGAAACCCUGACGCAGCAAUGCCGCGUGAGUGAGGAAGGGUUUCGGCUCGUAAAGCUCUGUUAAUAGGGAAGAACGGUAUUAUGGUUAAUACCCAUAGUAUUUGACGGUACCUAUAGAGGAAGCACCGGCUAACUUCGUGCCAGCAGCCGCGGUAAUACGAAGGGUGCAAGCGUUGUUCGGAUUUAUUGGGCGUAAAGCGCGCGCAGGCGGGCUAUCAAGUCAGAUGUGAAAUCUCGGGGCUCAACCCCGAAACUGCGUCUGAAACUGGUAGCCUAGAGUCUCGGAGGGGGUUGGGGAAUUUCGCAUGUAGGGGUAAGAUCCGUAGAGAUGCGAAGGAACACCAGUGGCGAAGG